UACGGAGGGAGCUAGCGUUGUUCGGAAUUACUGGGCGUAAAGGGCGCGUAGGCGGCCUGUUAAGUCGGACGUGAAAUCCCUCGGCUCAACCGGGGAACUGCGUCCGAUACUGGCGGGCUUGAAUUCGGGAGAGGGAUGUGGAAUUCCAGGUGUAGCGGUGAAAUGCGUAGAUAUCUGGAGGAACACCGGUGGCGAAGGCGGCAUCCUGGACCGACAUUGACGCUGAGGCGCGAAAGCCAGGGGAGCAAACGGG
rnacentral:rRNA from 1 species